CCACCAAGGCUUCGAUCGGUUAGGGGUUCUGAGAGGAAGGCCCCCCACACUGGAACUGAGACACGGUCCAGACUCCUACGGGAGGCAGCAGUGAGGAAUAUUGGUCAAUGGGCGGAAGCCUGAACCAGCCAAGUAGCGUGCAGGAUGACGGCCCUACGGGUUGUAAACUGCUUUUAUGCGGGGAUAAAGUUGCCCACGUGUGGGUUUUUGCAGGUACCGCAUGAAUAAGGACCGGCUAAUUCCGUGCCAGCAGCCGCGGUAAUACGGAAGGUCCGGGCGUUAUCCGGAUUUAUUGGGUUUAAAGGGAGCGCAGGCCGCCGUGCAAGCGUGCCGUGAAAAGCAGCGGCCCAACCGCUGCCCUGCGGCGCGAACUGCUUGGCUUGAGUGCGCCGGAAGCGGGCGGAAUUCGUGGUGUAGCGGUGAAAUGCUUAGAUAUCACGAAGAACCCCGAUUGCGAAGGCAGCCCGCUGUGGCGCCACUGACGCUGAGGCUCGAAGGUGCGGGUAUCGAACAGGAUUAGAUACCCUGGUAGUCCGCACGGUAAACGAUGGAUACCCGCUGUCCGGCCCGUACGGUCUGGGCGGCCAAGCGAAAGCGUUAAGUAUCCCACCUGGGGAGU
rnacentral:rRNA from 1 species